AACCGGUAUAUGAUUGUUGUGGACAGAAGGUGGUCCACCGUAAGUGGUUCAAUAGAUGUAGGUAAUAGGUUAGGGCAUACGAGUGAACAUGUGGGGUUGGCGCCAAGGCCCGUGUGAGAACUCUGUGAGAAUCCCAGCAUCAGAAUCUACCAUAUGCCCAGCUGGGUGUAAAUCCAGAUAGUAUACCAGGAUGUCAAUGUUGACCUAGUUAGGCGUGUCUUGGGUGACAGAUGGGCUGUAUAUGUGGACUAGGUGUGAGUUCUGGAGCAGAUGAAGCGGAUGUGUGAUACCCUGUGUGUAGUGAAAAUGGCAUACCCCAGCAUUAAAGUCAUAGCUCGCCCGCACUUUGCCCGUGAAUUAAU